rnacentral:rRNA from 1 species
UUUUCGUCAAUGGGGGAAACCCUGAACGAGCAACGCCGCGUGCAGGAAGAAGGUUUUCGGAUCGUAAACUGCUUUUCUUGGGGAAGAGAAACGGACGGUACCCAAGGAAGAAGCCCCGGCUAACUACGUGCCAGCAGCCGCGGUAAUACGUAGGGGGCAAGCGUUGUCCGGAUUUAUUGGGCGUAAAGGGCAUGUAGGCGGUCGGGCAAGUUUUGAGUGACAGGUGGGGGCUCAACCCCCGCAGGGCUCAGAAAACUGUCGGACUUGAGGGCUUAAGAGGGACGCGGAAUUCCAGGUGGAGCGGUGAAAUGCGUAGAGAUCUGGAAGAACACCGAUGGCGAAGGCAGCGUCCUGGGAAGUCACUGACGCUGAGGUGCGAAAGCCAGGGGAGCGAA